UUAUUACAAGAGGUUGUGCAAGUUAUUAACUUUGCACAUUACUUAUACCUAACGUAACGUAUGUUACAGUUAAUGGUAUAUUUCAUUUACAUAAAUAUUUGGUAUAUGAGAUUGGUAAAUGUAAGCACAUGUGGAGGAGUCAACCUACAUGAUACAGUUUGUGUACGAAGUGGGACAUCUGGUUUUCUGGUUUUAAAGGAUUUCUUUCGUUUAAGCACAUGGCAGCUGUUUCAGAGGUUAUACGUCGGUUGGACUUCUUCUUGUCUUACUUUUAAGCAUGCCAACAUUUCAUUUUUUUUCAAAUUGUUGUCUUAUCGGUCAAUGUUUACAAACUCCUGAUGUACAAAAUUCCAUAGAGGAUGUGUAUUCGAAAGUUAACUUUGCGCAUGUGCGUACUUGGAUGAAAAUAGAAGGAAACUUUCAGAGGC
rnacentral:lncRNA from 1 species